rnacentral:lncRNA from 1 species
AUGUCUUCUAGACCCUUCGCCAUCUUUGUUAAGAAAACUUGCUUUUUGCAGUAUUCUUGUUUAUAUAUUUAUUUAUUUACCCAAAGGGUUCUCUUACAGUAUGUUUACUCUCCUGUUUUCACAGUCCAUUCUUCAGCAAGAUAUCCUGUUUUCCUCUUGGUUUACAAAGAAAACUCAGUGUCGAGGGAGCUGAAGACUGGGAUGUGCUGGACUAAUAUAAAUUUAACCAAAGCCAAGAAUGCCCCUGGUUUGGCUCUGAAAAGAGUACUAAGCAGCCAAGGACAUUUGGAUAGCCAAAUCCAACCCAGUGCGGUGAGCUUCCUAUAUUGUGUUGCAUAUGGCAAUAACUAUAUACAUAAAUUUUAUUCUGUCUGUGCUGUCCUUAUAUCAUUUUUUUUAACAGAAGAUAGUCUGCUUUCUGCUAAGUGUCAGAGCAGGGGGACAAUAACUUUACGUGUAUACAAACUGUAUAUUCUUCUUUUCUAGAAACAGCAUUAUUAUUAUUAUUAUUAUUAUUUUCCACUGUUUCCCUGCUUUUUAGCCAGAAUUAACUGUAUGGCUCCAGUUUGCCCUAGUCAGGAUGUGGGAAGAGCUAAAUCCAACAUACAGACUGACCUAAAAACGUUGUAUUGGCACUAAGAGGGAGUCAAUAGGUAAUUUAUUUUGCAACCUAAGUAGAAACUGGUGUGUGUAUACGUGAAUAAAAUGAAAUAAAUUACAACA